rnacentral:lncRNA from 1 species
CUUUGUCCUUGUUUUUGAGACAUAAACAAUUGAUCAUACAUUUAACAUCUGCACGUUUCUUUCAAAAGCUAAGAAAUUUUGUUUAUAAGAUUUUUGAACUAUAUGUUAUAAAAUUUUAGUAAAAAAAGUACAGGUAAAACUAGAGGUCUCAGAAUAUCUGACAAAAAGUAGAAAUCCAGAGAAGCAAACAUCCUUAAUUGCUUCUAGACAGUAAAUUCUAAAAGCACCAAUAAGAAAUGAUCAACCUCUUUCUGUUUCUUGUUCUAACCUUAUUGCACUUACUCUUUUAUUGAUAUUAUACUUCCUCCUGAAUUAAUGAUAUUAAAGCAUGCUCUCACUUUCUUUUUUUGGUAGUAAAUUUACACUUGAAACUAAAAACUAAGAAAUGUGGCAUCAUUUCAAAACAGACUAUUUAUUCCCCAAAAACCAAUAGACAAAAUGUCAACAAGUAUAGAUCCCCUACGACACAAACUUCAUACUGAGAAUAGAAAAAUCAAACAAGAAUGCAUGUGUUGUCUUCCUGGGCAAAUAUAACAAAAAGUGACCCUUGUCCUUUAUACUUUACAUAUUCAAAAAAAAAAAAAAAUACUUAAAAUCAUAGACAAAUAUUAAUAUUUGAAAAUUAUUACAGUUUUCUAAAUCCCAGACUUUUCUUCAACUACUUUAGCCCUUUGUCAAGUUUGUCAUCAAUGAAACAAAGAAAUAUAAAGCAAGCUAAACAUAUUCUUUUGUUCUGAAAUCUUUAUAUAUUUGACAUUAUUUUCAAAACUCUAGAAUUGUGGUAGUGCUACUGAUUUGUUCAAGGUCUUUGCAGUCGUAUAAUGAGAACACAUCUGACUUUUUGUUGGUACCACUAGCUACAGGCACAGACUAUACUAAAUGACCUCACUCACCAGAAAACAACUAUACUUAUCAUUUAUCCAGGACAACCAUGUUUGCCCUUGAUCACAAUAACUAAUCACAUAUAAAGACAGACAAACUCAUUUUGUUUUUAUUUCAGGUGAUAUUAUAACUUUGUCAGUCUGAGAAAGGUAAACAACCUUUACUUUAGGUCUUAUAAAGAUCUUCUGAUACAUCACUUUAAGUUUUACAAAAUUGUUGGUGAUAUUUAAUAUAAAAUUUUAGAAAAACG